CACCACUUUAGUGGCCUUAUCUGCCAAAUC
rnacentral:piRNA from 1 species